rnacentral:rRNA from 1 species
ACUAGGGAUCGGGCGAUGUUCAUCAUUAUGACUCGCUCGGAACCUUACGAGAAAUCAAAGUCUUUGGGUACUGGGGGAGUAUGGUCGCAAGGCUGAAACUUAAAUGAAUUGACGGANGGGCACCACCAGGAUGUGGAGCCUGGGGCUUAAUUUGACUCAACACGGGGAAACUCACCAGGUCCAGACACAAUAAGGAUUGACAGAUUGAGAGCUCUUUCUUGAUUUUGUGG